UACAGAGGUCUCAAGCGUUGUUCGGAUUCAUUGAGCGUAAAGCGCGCGUAGGCGGUUUGUUAAGUGGGAUGUGAAAUCCCCGGGCUUAACCUGGGAAUUGCAUUUCAAACUGGCCGACUAGAGUACGGUAGAGGGAGGUAGAAUUUCCUGUGUAGCGGUGAAAUGCGUAGAUAUAGGAAGGAAUACCAGUGGCGAAGGCGGCCUCCUGGAUCGAUACUGACGCUGAGGCGCGAAAGCGUGGGGAGCAAGCAGG
rnacentral:rRNA from 1 species